GUCCCUGGCCCGGACUGUGUGAUGCUCCCAGCCAGUGGCCAGGCAGCGCCCAUACCCCAAGGCUACUUCAUCCACCCUGACACGGGGCGGGUGCUGCCCGAGGCUGGAAAUCUGGGUUACGAUGUGCAGGAAGCAACCCUGGUGCCCACCACUGACUGCAGUUCUGGUGGUGUCCGAACCUCAGAAGCUGCCAUCCUCCCCUACGUGCCCUACCCAACCUGUCUUGCCACAGGCUCCCUGCCAGCCACCCGCCUGCCUGUCCUGCAGCCGAGAAGGACAUCACAGUCAGGGGCUCUCAUGACAGACCCCAUAACGGGCAUCGAGGUGCCUGUGCUGGCUGUGACUCUGCACCCACAAACAAGGCAGUGGCUCACUCUUGGGGGGACAUACUGCAAUCCGCUCACCCAGACCCUGGCCCCUUUGGAGCUGGGGGGCCCCAUGGAGGAUCCUGUCACAGGAGGCAUCUCGCCAAUCCUGGGAGUCGGGUUGGAUGAAAACACAGGUCAGGUGCUUGCACUGGGAGGACUGCAAGAUGCCUCGGGGAACCUCCUGCUGCCUGGUGACAGCUUUGUGGAGCCACUGAGCAGGAAGCCAGCCCGGCUCCAGGGGGCUUCCCUACAGGAGGGCCGGACUGUGCCCCAUACAGGAGGGCCCCAGGACCUGCUGGAUGCCAAUGUGCUGGCAGCCCAGAGGCGAGUGAUUACAGUGCUCCGGAGCUCCCAGGAGAGGCCAGGGCCGAGGGGACAGGGGCUCCUGGAGGCUGCUAUCAAGGACAUGAGACAGGCGCUGGCCCUGAGCCUGCACCACCUCCUGCAGCAGGCCUGGCGGCUGCAGAGACAACAAGAGGCAGCAGAGAGCCUGGAGGCCAGCGGCGGCAGGAUAGGUACGGCUCCCCGGCCUCGAAAGCCCAGAACCAGAACGACCUGGUGCUUUACUGUCCCUCAGCCCAUAAGCUCAGAGACAGGCCUGCAGCUCCAUUGGCCAGUCACACAUGGGAUCGAGGGAAGAGAAAGAAUUUGGUGACUUCAUGCUGUGAGCUCAAGAAUGCUUGGCUUUCAAUCUCAGUCUUUUAACCUCUGGCCAAUUCCACUGGGUCUUAUAUUUGAUGUUAGUAAAGUGGAUAUUCUCUGGUAAUUUCAUAGGACCCCCAAGCACCAUAACAUGUGAUGACGCCCACUUUACAUUGCAGAAUCUGAAGCCAAGGGAGCUUAGAGACUCAC
rnacentral:lncRNA from 1 species